GAUACUAGCUGUGUGGUGACACUGAUGCCAUCGACAGAGUACGCUCAGUCAGCAGCUCCGAACAGGAGGGGGUGCUGUGUGUGCACGGGGAAUGCACAGGCAGGGUCCCCAAGUGCUUGCUGGGUGUGCACUGAGUUGCAGUUUCAGUUGUUUUUCAUACCCAUCCCCAGUGGCUUUAUCUGGUCCUCCCAUGCCACUUUGCCACCCUUCACUGCAGGAUCCAAGGACCUUGUCCCCCUACGGCCAGGUUCAGUGUCAUUCUGCCUGCUUUGCAGCUGGACUUGCCUGGGCAGCAUGCAGCAUCUGCAGGGCCAGGCUUCCCAGAGGCUCAGGGAUCACCAGGGCGUAGCAGAGGCAUCGGUGGGUGGUGUGUGUGUGUGUGUCUGUCUGUCUGUCUGUCUCUGGAAAUGCACCAUCUGCCUGCAUGCACCACUCUGUUAUGAUAUUUUCUUGAAAUCAGGGAGUUAGAUAUAUAGAUAUAUAGCCACCCCUGGGAGUGGCACCCAGGGCUGCCAGGAAAGGGAGUCAGUGGAAAAGCCUGUGUGUAUUAUGGUCUAUAAGCCUCUGUCAGAUAAAGUACAUUUGAAGUCUUAUAGCUGUAAAAUGGCUGGCAGAUAAUACCCUUUACUGUACUAGAGAGCUGCGAUAUUGCUGCAAGCCUGGCAGGAUAGGAAAUAUAGAAAAAUCGUGGUUCAUGCAUGAGAGCCAUACAUCCCUGCUGCAGGACGGCCUGAAGGUGUCAUUUUUCUUACAGGUAAAUGGCACAACAGAGCUGGGGCAUCCUGCCGUCAGCUGCACCAGAGGAGCCUUGCUUUCAAGAUGUGACACUCGCUACUCUGAUAAAUGACUGGUUCAAACAGGUCAAACCAGAAGGCUGUUUUUUCCCAGAGCCUGGAGUUUUUCACACCUGGUAUUUGUAGUGUUGAUGGGACCAUCUGCCAGACACACCUUAGCAUCUCAAAUUAGCCAGUUUCCCCUCUUUGGCUGCGUUAGCAUUAAUUUGAGCCUCUGUUCCCUCAGACAAAUUUAACCUUGGUGUCAACAAAGCACUUCAGCUCAAGGUACCAAAGACAAGCUUCAGCAAGGGCACAAACCCACCAGACAUGCCAAAGAGUGUGAAGGUGAGAAGCCCUUCCUGUAAGAAAGAACACUAAUUGUGGCUUUGGGGGGGGGUUUGUUCAAAGAGCUGAAGAGGGCCUCAGCAGCUAUAGGGAAAUGUCCUUAUUUGCUGGGGUUAUAAACCCGCAGUUUCUGGUUUCCCCCUCCCUGCACUACACCAGCCUUUGCCAUCUCCUCAGCAGUGCAGCUCAGCUGCUGCGGGGCUGGGCUUGUGCUCAGGGAAACCGUCUCUUCUCCAUGCUGGACUACCCCGCCAGCCCCUGCUCGCGCAAGCAGAUCAUGACAGCAAAGCUUUAUUAAUUUAUGUCUGUUCCCUAGCUGUAAGCAAGAAGGUUCGCACACCGCAAGUACCACGAUGGACUCCCAUUGGGUUGGAAAAACUGCAUGGGUAUUAAUUCAACAAGACAAGACCCUGGGCUGUAAACUCUGGCGUUGCAGACUUUAAGUACAGCAUGCUGGUUGCAAAAGACCUAUCCUGAGAUAGCAAAAAGAACCCAGCAAAAGCUCUGUCCUGGGUGCCGACACAUUGGUGGUGCCACCGGCUGUGCCAGGGUUGGGCUCAUCACGUGGCAUGGCCUUGGGCACGUGCACAAUGUUGGGCGCUGCUGGCUGGGAGAGCUGCUUGUGCUGUGUUAUGGCUGGUGAUGCCAGCGGGGCAGUUUUCAGAACUGGGGAUUUUAAACUCCAAGUUGUUUUAGGUAGGAGUUACUUCUACAGUGUAUGUGUAGGACCUAAAAAUAGGCCUGACUGGGUUUAGGACAUCAGGUGCUCCAGCAUUGGUACGGAUGAUUGCCUGCCUCUUAGAUAUGGGCUGAGCCUUUCCCCAGAGAAGGGCUUGAGGCUGCGGGAGCAGUACUUACCCAAAUGUCAAGAGGAACCGUCGCUCUUCUAAGUAUCUGUCCACACAGAUUAGGCUAAUCCAACUUUUGGAGAGGGUACACUCUCACAAUUAAAGAUUUUGUCUAAGCUGCAGGUGAUGACACAAAGUUAAACAACGACCUUCAAACACCUAGGUCAGGCACUGUUUUCCCCUGAAUAUGGCCUUCUGGUGACCUGCGUUCUUAUAGCAUCCAACAGGACAGUUAGAAAAAUGGUAGUAUUAAUUCCCCACAGAACCACUGCAAAAUAGACUGCAAGCAAAAUGAAGAUCGAUUGCUGUUGUAAGGAAAAGCAAGGCAAUGAUCAGAAAUCAGGAAAGCAAAUCAAGCAGAGAGGUCAGUGAAACGAAUGUCUUUGAGUGGAAAGGGAAGGAGGAACCACAACUUUUUUAAUUGAGCACAUAAGCAAGUUGAGCAAAUUGCUUCUUCCCUCUUCAAGCAGAGGACAUGGUUUUGCUGGCACCAGGUAUUUCUGUAUGAGGAUCUAAGUCUGGCCAUCUGUUAAAGUGUCACUCUGGAGUUAUGCUAGUAUAGGAGGGAACAAAAAUGCAGCCUGUGUUUGGUGUGAGGUGCAUGAAUUUGGAGAGGUCAAAGGAAAAAGUGUGGUCGGAAUAGUCCUGGAGAAGAAGGCUUCUCCUGGAGCAGUGGUUUCUGCUGGGGAGAGCAGUCCUCUGCUGCUCAAAGGCAGCCUGGAGCCCCCUACCUGUGCAUUAACUUUUAGCAACAGUAACAGGAAGCAAUUUUCUGGGAAACUACAGUUUGGCAAUGGAAAAAAAAAAAAAAAAAACCAAACGAUUAACGGAUGCAGGGGGCUGUGGGGCAGGGGGUUGCAGCGGUGUGGGGUACGAGGGUGGGAGGGCUUGGGGCAGGGUUGGUGCUGGGGUGCCUGUGCAGCUUUCCCAUCUUUCUGUACCAAGAGCCCCCCUCCAUCCUCACCCUGGUUUGUUUGCUGCUGACAGUUCCUCAGCACAGAGCAUGGGAUUGCUCGUGCUGAAGGAAAGCCCAUUUGUGUGGUUGGUGCCCCUUCAGCAGUGUGCAGGGCCCAUGCAGUAAGACCCCACCAUGGUGUCACUGCUGAGGAGCAUCUCGCUGAAUAUAUGCUGGUUUACAUGGCUAAGAUGGACAGGUAGGUGCUCACAGUCACCUAGGAUGGACAUCCAUCUUCCUAUGGUGACUAGGGGUGUGGGCAUGUUAAUAGUAACUGUGUUUUAGCACCGCAGACUUUCAAUAAAACUAAUUUUUAACCCUGCCACCUUGUAGCAAAGUAGAAAAUUGCUUUAAAAAAGAAUGUAAUUCACGGAGAAUUAUUUCCUGUAUGUUCAAGUUUUCAAAGCUAAGGGUCUAGGGUGCAAAAAAUAAAUAUCACAGCUGACUGUUGUAUGCCUUCUGGUAAUAGCAGCAGCAGAACUUGAUUUUUCCUUGACCUUUUACUUCAAGGAGGAGAGAAGUACUAGAUGAGAGAGUUCAUCCAUGUGUGAGACACUGUACUGUGCUCAGGGCCAUGAUACCUAUGAUGUUUCCUGGAGACUUGAGGACUUACCUUUAGCGGGGAUGUGCAUUACCAAGUUCUGUUUCACCUGCAGGUGAGCAUUGGGUGCCCUUGACUGUCCCAUCGGCUCCUGCUGACCUCACAGAAGGCCUUUAAUUCUGCAAAAAACACCAAUAUUGUGAUAAGUUAGUAUUUUAAACCAUUAAAACUUGGAGACGUAAAGGGGGCACCUAAAUAAGAGGCUGUUGAGACUAUUACAACAAAAAAACUUGGGCAAGUCUAGAAGUCGCUUGACUAACACCAAGUAAAACUCAGUCCUGAAUAGGCAGAAGAUGGCAUUGAAUUCAUAAGGGGCGGGGUGUGUGUGUGUGUGUGUGUUAUUUACCUGCAGGCUGGGGGUCUGUAUCGCUAGCAUCUGGAAAAUGCACUACAGUAGAUCUUUGCACAAGGGAGCUGUGGGGAAAGUUGCUGCUUUCCUGAGUAGGAAGCUGUGCUGAAAGGCUGUCGCAUAGAUGAAAAGUCAGGGAGCAAAGCAGACAAAGCCCCACCCACCAAAUGAAUUUCAGAGUUAAAUGGGAUCCAACACAACGUUAUGGGUUUCUUGGGUUUCCUUUCCUCAUGUGCCCCCCGAUGCCCACAGCUCACUGUUCUCCGCAGCCCCAUGCUCACUCAGUGCCUUUUUGGCACUUUGGUCUCUUUUUGGCGAAAUUUCCUGCCUAAGUUUUGUUUCAUCUUUUCUAGAAAACAUGGAGGUCUUCAAGUGGGAGGCCUGUGGAGGGCCUGCGUAUGCUGGCAAAACUGUCGCAUUUUCCAGGCCUCGGGACAAAAGGCUGGCUGUGGGACGAGGGCAGGGGUUUUUAAAAGUGUCGCAUUGCGUUAAAUUCUCACCAGUGACGGAGUAGCCAGGACAGCAUGUGGGCUGGCACUCACAGUGUGCUCUUCGCUUUAACACUGCUGACUUGCUCAAACAUCACCUGUAUCUUCAGGAAAGGCAGGAAGGAGCAUCCAGAGGACAACAGCACAGUUGGUCUCACCUUCAUCCCUGGGAAGGAGAUGGAUGAAGUCCUGGAAACGAUUUAAAAGCAUACUAAGGACAAGAAGGUGAUUGGAUUUACAAAAUCUUGUCUGACCAACUUGAUAGCGGCCUCUGAAGAGAUGACUUUGCUUGGUGGAUGAAUUGAGAGCAGUGUAUGUUGUUUAUCUCAACUUUAGUGUCGAGAGCCUUGCUGUCUCCCAUAAUAGCCUCAUAGACAGACUGAUGAAGUAUGGUCUAGAUAAAUGGACAGCAAGGUGGACUGAAAACUGCUGAACUGCCAAGGCCCAAGGCUGUGAUUAGCAGCAUGAAGUCCAGCAGGAGGCCAGUCCCUAGUGGAGUCCCUUAGAAGUCAAGACUGGGGCAAACAAUGAAGAUGCCAAACAAUAAUGGCAUGGUGCUAGGACAGAGUGCACCCUUGGCAAAUCUGCAGAUUGUACGAAACUGAGGGGAGUGGCUGAUACACCAGAGGGUUGUGCCACCGUUCAGAGGCACCUUGACAGGCUGGAGA